CCGAUCACUUUCACCUUUGAUAGAUCAUGGCGGUUUAGUUGGUUUGGGAAGUUUAGUUGAGACUGGGCACGUGCGUCAUCAAAAUGGAAAAGGUAAAGAAGAGAUGGAGGCUCGAAGAGAGGAGAGCCAUUUGCAUCGACCGCUCCUGACGCCAUGAAUACCAAUAACAGUACAAGUAUGGAUCGCCUCUAUAUUGUGUGGGUGUUUCUACUAUUUCUUCAAGCUAUGGAAAAUAAUGCGUAUUGUAUGCCAUUCUCCCAUCAUACUUUCGUUGGAAAACCCAACGCCAAGUCAAACAAUUUGUCUCCUUUCACUUUUCGGGAGCAGAGCAGUAAAAGAAUAGCAAUUCUCAAUAAUGGAAGAGUUCUUCUGGGGAUGUGACAUAUAUCAAACCAAGGAAAUACAAAGUAAGCAAAUAGACGCUACAAUACUCAUGGAAAAAAUCGACUAUAAGAAUGACUUACUAAUGGAUAAAAUACACUAUCAAAAUGAUGAAGUACAAAGUGAGCAAAUAUACUCUCUUCCCCAUUUGAAGGAAAUAACAAGAUUGAGUGCGGAAAUGAGGAUACAGGACUGCAACAGCUUAAGCCCACUUGAGCAAUUUACCAUUCACCCAUUAAUUCUGAUUCGUGGGGGCAACUAUUAUUUCUCAUUCACAAAUCCAUCCUUGUCUCUGCUGCUCACUCUCGGUUUGGUCCUACUUCUGCUUUUUUUGGUUACGAAAAAGGGAGGGGGAAAGUCAGUGCCAAAUGCUUGGCAAUCCUUGGUAGAGCUUCUUUAUGAUUUCGUGCUUAACCCAGUAAACGAACAAAUAGGUGGUCGAAAUGUGAACCAAAAGUUUUUCCCUUGCAUCUCGGUCACUUUGACUUUUUCGUUAUUUUGUAAUCCCCAGGGUAUGAUACCCUAUAGUUUCACAGUUACAAGUCAUUUUCUCAUUACUUUGACUCUAUCAUUUUCUCUUGUUAUAGGCAUUACGAUCGUUGGAUUUCAAAGACAUGGGCUUCAUUUUUUGAGCUUCUCAUUACCAGCAGGAGUCCCACUACCGUUAGCACCUUUUUUAGUACUCCUUGAGCUAAUCCCUCAUUGUUUUCGUGCAUUAAGCUCAGGAAUACGUUUAUUUGCUAAUAUGAUGGCCGGUCAUAGUUCAGUGAAGAUUUUAAGUGGGUCUGCUUGGACUAUACUAUUAUUGAAUAAUGUAUUCUAUUUCAUAGGAGAUCCUGGUCCUUUCUUUAUAGUUCUUGCAUUAACCGGUCCGGAAUUAGGUGUAGCUAUAUUACAAGCUCAUGUUUCUACGAUCUCAAUCUGUAUUUACUUGAAUGAUGCUACAAAUCUCCAUCAAUAUUAGUUCUUUCAUAAUUGAAUCAAAAUGAGGAGCCGGGCAACUGCUAUGCUUUUGCAGCUCAUUUACAUUACUUGGAUUGGAGAGCUAUCAACUAUCCUUUUGGAAGCGGAUAGUAUACAGUGCUAAUUCUCCAAAAUACAUAGGAAAAGCCAACUCAUCAUGAUAUUUCCACUCCAUUUUCAUUACGAAGAUGUCUCACGUCAGGAUCCGUUGCUCAAACCGAAUCACGCCAACGUUAUGGAAGUUCCUGGAUCGUUUGAAAUCAGAUUAGUACCAUCAGCUGCCUUCAUUAUUCCAUUUUCUAAGUUCGCUAUGGAGAUGGAGUGCGGUCAGAGAUUCAUACAGAAACAAAGGAGCCCUUAUUUCCAAGCUGGAAAGGUCAAGUCGUUUCGAUCCAAUACUUUCUUGGGAUCUGAAAAAGACACUGCAUAUGUCAGUGACUUUGAACGACAAAGCGCUCUCCGAGGGCUUGGAAUGUCACAUUUGAUGGUCAGAAUCUCGAUGGUAAUGUCUAUAUUAGAUUCUAAGGUCGAAAUACGGGAAAACCCCAUCCAAUUCUCGAUGGAAACAGAGUUUUUCGAAUUCUCCCCGGAACUAGAAGAGCAUUUCGAGAUCUUCGAGCAUAUUAAAGGGUUCAAUGUGACUAUUGUGACUUCGGCCAACACAAAAG
rnacentral:lncRNA from 1 species